AAUAUUUUGUGUGCAGGAGAGAAAAAUAUCAUUGAGAUAGAUUAUAUUUAAAAAUGCAAUCAGUGAGUAGUCAAAUGAACAAAUGUAUUUAAACUCUAGCCAGUAAAACACAAGAGCAUGAUAUAUUGAUUUUGCAUUUCCUUCUGAGCACGAUUAUGACAUAAAAGAAAAUUCUCAAUUAAAUUAGAAAUCACAAUAACUACAAUUUAUGACUGAGUUCAUGUCAUGAAAAUGAAAGCAUGGAGUCACAGAAGAAGGAUGGUAUUUGCAUACCACUGAUAAUUUUUAAAGUAUAAGAUCGCAAAUAAGCUUCACUUUAUCUUCUUGCAGUGAGGUGUUAGAGAACCUUAUUUGUUUGUGAAGUUGUUACAUUGGAGCUUUCUACCCUGCAGGCCAGCGUUUCCAUCUCCCAGCCCAUAUUGUCACUCCUGUCCAGUAUUUUACUAUUAAAGGGGACUUCCCUGGUGGUCCAGUGGUUAAAACUCUGUGCUCCCAAUGAAGGGGGCAUGGGUUUGAUUCCUGGUUGGGGAACUAAGAUCUCACAUGGCAAAAAAAGAUGUGGUCCAUCGACCUGCAGCAUUGGACUCACUUGGAAGUUUGAUAGAAAUGCAGAAUUUCAGGCCCUGCCCUGGACAUACUGGAGAAGGGGAUGACAGAGGAUGAGAUGGUUGGAUAGCCUCACUGACUUGAUGGACGUGAGACUGAGCGAACUCCGGGCGUUGGUGAUGGACAGGGAGGCCUGGUGUGCUGCAGCUCAUGGGGUCGCAAAGAGUCAGGCAGGACUGAGCAACUGAACUGAACUGAACUGGAAGGAUUCUUAUGCAUAGGCAGUGAGAAGUGCUACAAUCUACCUUUCCUUUGGUUGUCAGAACUAAGAAGUUUGCUUAUGGUUUGGUUCUUUCUGUGCUCCCCGGCCUACCCAUCCUUACAUAAGGCUGUCUUUGAAUGUUGAGUGCACUGAGACAAAAGCUCGGCCACAUGCUUUGAUUUGCAUAACCCUUAUACAGAGAGAGAGAACUUGGACUUGGCUCUAGUUCCCUGCAGGAGGUCUGCUAGGUGGGAGAGAGAACGACCCUCUGACUACAGAUUACUUUGUGUAGGGGAAAACUUGGUGUGUGUGAACCUGGCUUGGGGUGGGGGAGAGUUCUAUAUUGCAGCUGCCACAUGGGACCGUCCUAAUCACUGUGGGGCCCAACUUCCCCUGCAGGGCUGGCUGUCCUGAGGAGGAACUGGCAGGGGAGACCCCCAGGGUCUCUAGGGGCUGAGGCUUUCCUUUAAGAGCUGAACUUAAGACACAGAGCUGAAUUUCAACUCAACUUGAGUCUUUUGGUCCUCACCAUGAAACAAGACUCACAAAAAAGUGUCUCAUGUACUGAUCACCUACUAUGUUCCUGGGGUUUCCCUGUGACUCAGGGGUAAAGAAUCUGCCUGCAAUGCAGGAGACGUGGGUUCAAUCCUUGGCUCAGGAGGAUCCCCUGGAGGAGGGCAUGGCAACCCUCUCUAGUGUUCUUGGUUGGGAAAUCCCAUGAACAGAGGAGUUUGGUGGCUACAGUCCAUAGGGUUACAAAGAGUCGGACAUGACUUAGCAACAACAGCUAUGUUCCAGACACCAGUCAAGCUGCCUGUGUAUAUUAUCCCUUUCAGUUUGAAUCCUUCUGAGAGGUUGCUCUCCCUAUUGCCAUUUUAUAGAUGAGGAAACUAAGGCUCAGAGAGGUUAUGUGGUUGUUCAAGAGCCAUUGGUUCAUAAGUGAUAGAGUAGGAUUUGAGCUUCGCAUGGGGCUGAUGUCAAACCCAGGCUCUUCUUACGCCAUAAAGAAACAAGUACCUGCUGUUGUCAGAGCAACGAAGUAAGGGUUAGAGCUUUAGGGUUUGAGGAUAAGGUCGUCCCCCACACAAGGAUGACAGUCAAGAGGGAUGUGAAAUGCAGUAACGGUAAACACGGUGCCCAGUGCGUUCCUUCUCCAGUCCUCGGAACUGGACUUCUUUUGCCUAUGUGUCUGUGUAGGAAGGUCCAGGAGGGCUUACACUCUAGGCCCGCAGACCCCGCCAGCUGCUGGAGAAGGAGCCAGGUGCUGCUUUGGCUUCUUGUCUCACAACGUGGAAUGAGAUGUAGGAUGUGGGAAGAGGCCCAUCACUCAUGUGCACAGAGGAGAAAGAGGAAGAGGCGACUGGCUCCUGCCUUUAUCACGGAACCCUGCUGACUAGUGAAACGUGCCCACAGACUGCCUCCGGAUGUCACCAUCCAGUCAGCAAGUCCUCUUCUCAUGGGGCUGGCAGAAUAUUGGGGGCAAGAGUCAAGUGUCCUGCUCCCUUGAAAGUUCAGGUGGGGGACUUCUCUGGUGGUCUAGAGGCUAAGACUCUGAGCUCCCAAUGCAGGGGGCACAGGUUCGAUCCCUGGUCAGGAAACUAUAUCCCACAUGCCACAACUAAGACCCAGUGCAGAUAAAUAAAUAAAAAAUAAAAAACUUCAAGUGGGACUUCCUUUAUUGUCCAGUGCUUAAGACUCUGUGCUUCUACUGUAGAGGGUGUGGGUUCAAUUCCUGGUUAGGGAACCAAGAUCCGUAUGCCAUGAGGCACAGCUAAACACUAAAUCAUAUGCUCUACCCUGAGAAAUGUUGGUUCCAGUUGGAAAGCACCCAGUGGGGUCUUGGAACCUGCUGGUGCUAGCUUGCAAGAACCAAUGUAUUUUGUCUUUUCUCAACUCUGCAUCUGUGGAUGUCGUGAUGGUAGUGUUUACACCACAGAAACUGGCAAAUGCUACACACCAGGGCAUCCUCUCCCUGCAGAGCCAGUUGUUAAACACUUGCCAGCACACCUCUGAGAGCAGGUGCGUGCAAACACAAAAGAUCCAGAGUAAUUCAUCCUGAAGUUAUACCUAGUAUUCAAGUGAAGU
ensembl:lncRNA